AAAAUGCAGGGAAUAGUGAGCCAAAAGAGUCAGAAAACCAAAUUACUGCAGUACAUAUGGUUGGUAUUACAGAUGAUGAGCAGUUGGACAGUACAGGUAAUAGGGGCAAAGCAGUCAUGCAUGAACUGGAAAAGAGGGGGCAACAAUUUGAUCCUGGUCCCUCUUAUAGUCUGCCUAAUACUGAUCCAUGAUUGUAGUCACAUGGAACAUUAGGGGACUUAAUCAGUUUCCUAAGCAAAAGGAAUUGAAACAAUUCCUUGCUGAUAAUAAAGUGGAUGUAAU
rnacentral:lncRNA from 1 species